AUGGCCUGGACACUGCUCCUCCUUGCACUGGUCACCUAUUUCUCUGGUUCCUUUGCCCAGUACGUGGUGACACAGCCGCCUUCAGUGUCUGUGUCUCCAGGACAAACUGCUCGGCUCACCUGCUCUGGGGACAACAUUUUUAGCAAGACUGUGAACUGGUACCAGCAGAAACCUGGCAGUGUCCCCGUAGUCAUUAUAUAUAGCAGUACCAACAGACCCUCCAGCAUCCCUGACCGAUUCUCGGAUGCCAACUCUGGUGACAUGGCCACAUUGAACAUCACUGGAGUCCAAGCCCAGGAUGAAGCUGAUUAUUACUGUCAGGCUUUGGGCAGCGGCUCCAGGUCACAGUCUCUACUGACUCAGCCGCCUUCCGUGUCGGUGCACCCAGGAAACACCGUGAACCUCGACUGCUCUAUCCACAGUGGGAGCAGCAGCAGUGGCCACAGAGUGUACUGGUACCAGCAGAAACCUGGCCCUCCCCUGCGAGUCCGCUGUGCUGACCAGGACAUCGGCAUUCCAGUAACCCUCUUCUUCUAA